rnacentral:rRNA from 1 species
AGCGAACGCUGGCGGCAGGCUUAACACAUGCAAGUCGAGCGGGCCCUUCGGGGUCAGCGGCGGACGGGUGAGUAACGCGUGGGAACGUGCCCUCUGGUCUGGCAUAACCCUGGGAAACUCGGGCUAAUACCGGAUACGCCCUUUUUGGGAAAGGCUUGCUGCCGGAGGAUCGGCCCGCGUCUGAUUAGCUAGUUGGUGGGGUAACGGCCUACCAAGGCGACGAUCAGUAGCUGGUCUGAGAGGAUGAUCAGCCACACUGGGACUGAGACACGGCCCAGACUCCUACGGGAGGCAGCAGUGGGGAAUAUUGGACAAUGGGCGCAAGCCUGAUCCAGCCAUGCCGCGUGAGUGAUGAAGGCCUUAGGGUUGUAAAGCUCUUUUAUCCGGGACGAUAAUGACGGUACCGGAGGAAUAAGCCCCGGCUAACUUCGUGCCAGCCGCCGCGGUAA